rnacentral:ncRNA from 2 species
AAAGGUUUCCGCGGGAGCCGCACAGAACAGGAUGCGGCUGAGAGGGCAUAUUCGCCGACCGCUUUCACCUGAUGCGGGUCAUGCCGCCGGAGGGAGGACAUGCUGUGGGCAC